UUCGGAUUGUAGGCUGCAACUCGCCUACAUGAAGCUGGAAUUGCUAGUAAUCACAGGUCAGCAUACUGUGGUGAAUACGUUCCCGGGCCUUGUACACACCGCCCGUCACACUAUGAGAGUUGAGAAUACCCGAAGUCCAUGUCAAAGUGGCCGAAGGUAGGCUUGAUGAUUGGGGUGAAGUCGUAACAAGGUAAC
rnacentral:rRNA from 1 species